rnacentral:misc_RNA from 1 species
GAUGAAGAACGUAGCGAAAUGCGAUAAGUAAUGUGAAUUGCAGAAUUCAGUGAAUCAUCGAAUCUUUGAACGCACCUUGCGCCCUUUGGACAUUCCGAAGGGCAUGCCUGUUUGAGUAUCAUGAACACCUCAACUCUCACGGCUUGUCCGUGAUGAGCUUGGACUUUGGGGGUCUUGCCGGCCUGUGGUCGGCUCCUCUCAAAUGGAUCAGCUUGCCAGUGUUUGGUGGCAUCACAGGUGUGAUAACUAUCUGCGCUUGUGGUUUUCCAUCAGAUAACCUUCAGUGAUAUGGAGGUUCGCUGGAGCUCACAAAUGUCUCUCCUUAGUGAGGACAGCUCUUUGAACGUUUGAUCUCAAAUCAGGUAGGACUACCCGCUGAACUUAAGCAUAUCAAUAAGGGAGGA